UAAUUUCCAAAUUUGGGGUUCAGGGUUCUUGUAAGGAAAUUAUCAAUUCUACUGUUCGUGAUGCUUGUACUUUAAAUUGCUUCAAGAUAUGAGACUAGUAUGUAUCUCGAACCUUAAGACAUAUAUAUUUGUUUCAAUUAACUUCUUCUGCAGCGCGGGAGCAUUAUGCUUUGAACUCAGGCUUUUCCCUGACCAACAUUGAACUUUUGAAUGGCUCGAAUUUCAGAAAAUGGAAAGAGAUGGUUGAUUGUAUCUUGGCUUUCAGGGUAUUGACAUAUGUUUAAGAACCUGAGCCCCUUAUAGAUGACCAAGGUACUAAUCAGGAUGUCACCAAGCAUAGAGAAUGGCACAGAGCCGAUAGAAUGACCAAAUUGAUCUUGAAACAGACCAUGUCACCUAUUGUGAGGGGUAGUGUCGCUGAGCAAGAGACUGCAUUAGAGUAUAUGACUGCAAUCGGCCUUAAGUUCAAGGAGAAUGAAAAGGUUGAAAUCCACUUACUGUUAGAUAAGUUGAUGAAGACUAAGUAUGAAGCUUCCGGUAGUGUAAGAGAACACAUUAUGAGUAUCAUUCAUACCACCACUAGACUUAGGGACUUAAAUGUUGUUUUUCCUGAUGCUUUCAUUAUUCAUCUUUUCUUUGAAAAUCUCCCUGCUAGCUUUGCGGCUCUCAGAACAGCUUAUUUUGCUCAAAAGGAGCAGUGGGACUUGAAUGAGUUAAUUGCAAUCUGUGUACAAGAAGAGGAACUGCUUAAGAGAGACAAGUCUAUUUCUGUGAAUUUAGUCAAUAAACCAAACUGGAAGGGUAAGAACAAGGCUUCAGGGUCUAAUACAGUAGCUGCAAGUGAGGGAACUAGUGGGACCAAAGUAGUGAAACUUGGCCCCAAGAAAUUUGGUGGAAAGGGUAAGAAAUCUGGAAGUUUUAAGUGCUUUUUCUGCAAAAAGAUGCCAUUCCAAGAAGAAUUGUAAGGGGUUUAAGGACUGGCUUGUGAAAAAGGGACUUUCUAACAAAGAGGGCCCCAAAGAAAAAUGAGGUGAACAUCUCAGUAGGGAAUGGCAUGGGAGUAGCAGUGAAGGCGAUAGGCACAGUCAAACUGCUUUUAGGAUCUAGUCUUAGUUAUGUUUUGGAAAAUGUUUUUUAUAUUCCCUCUAUGAAGAGGAAGUUGAUUUCAGUAGCUUGCUUAGUUAGGAGUGGGUGUACUUUUUUCAUCAACCUUGAAGAAAUAAAAA